AAACAGAUGUGUGAGAUGUUACGAAACUACAGUCACAGCAGUCAUUUCCCAUCAGCUCUGAGGAAACAGUGACAUGAAGAAAGCUUGGCUGGGAUGACAUGGGCAAAAAAAAAAGACAAGGAAAGGAAAGGAAGAAAAGAAAAGGAAAGAAAGAAAAGAGUAGAGUAGAAAAGAAAAGAAAAGAAUGUUCCUAAAUCAAUUUGUUCAGAACCCACAUGUUAAACACAAGGUGAAAUUUAAAUGUGGGUGAGUUCUGUUCGAGUUCUGUUCGAGUUCUGUUUAAAACGGUCAGUCAGCUGAAAGUGAAGUGUGUCGGUGUCAAACUCACACAGCGAAGUACAGAGUACAGAUUUAACACAGGAAUGAAGUAAUAUUAUGAAGCCAGUAUCUUCAGCACUUACCAGAUGAUUCUGUAGAUUUGUUAGACUCCAUCAUAUUGUUUAAGUUCUUCACGAUUAUUCUUUCUUUAUCCUGGACAGGGGGACUUCCUGGUUGAUUGGUUGGCAAAGCGUGUGAGCAUGUAGGUGUGGUUUAUCCAUUUAACACACCUACAUACUGCCGAGAGGACGGUAGGUGUGUUCGAUUUCACACAGGCUGCGCAACUCGGUCGAAGCUUGUCGUUAUGUGAUCCGCGUUCUCAGACCGAUUUGCACCGCGAAUUUGUUGCGUUCCAGUUCAAACUGACAAAAAAACAAAAAAAAAACAUUUCUGGAAAUGAAGAGAGUUUUUAUAAGUGUUACUUUACGAGAUGCGAUAGAAACUUUGAUAUGGAUAAAGGUGCAUGCACCUGCCUGAAAUGAUCCAGGUUUAAUCUAGUUUGAACGCGCUUAUUCAUCUUAAUUUAUUUUCAUUAUCACUGCAUGCUGAGUAUCAGUAACAUCUGGGAAAAUGCACCGCCCCCUAAUAAACUAUCUAAAAAUACUGGGAUAAGUGAGAGACUUUAGUAAUCUAGUAGGAAUAUCUAGUAUAUAGUUAUUUAUCUCUUUAUUUUAUUUUAUUUAUGGAGUAUUGUUUUUGUAUUCUUCUUCUUCUUCUUCUAAUUAUUAUUAUUAUUAUUUUCCAAUUUAAUUUUUUUUCUGCCAAUCUACUGCCCACACUCCAGUCCAGUGGGUGGCAGUAAUGCACAUUUAGCCGCCAUUAAAACAAGAAGAAAUGCAUCGCAUCAGUCCGUUUAUUUUUAUUUUUUGCCCUGACUGCAAAAAUGGAAGAUUAUAUAUAUAUAUAAGCUAAAACAUUUCUCAAAACUGGACUUUCAAUCGAAACCGGAAGUGAUAAAUAAUGGAAGACCGAUGCCGGAGCUAAAAGAUUUGCUUCAAACGACGGGACAGAAGAUAACGCGCUCUUUUCAAACGGAGUGGUUCAUCCGAAAACACUGGCUGUGUGCUUGUGCUACGAGAAACCGCCUUUUCUGCUUCCCCUGCCUUUUGUUCUCAACAGGAUUUAGUGACUUGAAAAAUAUACCAAGAAGCCUCAGCAGACAUGAAAGUCUGCUCACAUUCAGGGCCAAAUUGCUUUAAAAACUUUUGGAAGCGCAAGGAUAGAUUUGGCUUCGAACAAACAGUGGAGUCUAAAUAUUAGCGUCCACAAUGCUAAGAUAAAGGAAAACUGAGAGAUUUUAAAAGACCUCAUUAAUGCAACUUGCUUCCUAGCCAAACAGCAAUUAGCAUUUCAUGCUAACGAUGAGAGUACGACCUCUUCUAAUCCGGUCAGCUCUGUGGAACUAUUACAGGCUCUUGCUGAGAAGGAUGGUAGGUUAGCUAGACAUUUGGAGAGUGUUUUCUGGCUCAUCAAACAGAAUUCAGAACGAUUUAAUUGAAGCAAUAAGUGAUAUGAUUAGAAAUGAUGUAAAAAAGGAGAUUAAUCCAGCCCUAUUUGUUGCUGACGAGACAACGGAUGUCACAGACAAAGCCCAGAUCUGUCAUUUUGCGUUAUGUGGCUACAAGUGAGGUGUCCUGUGAAGUGAGGGAGGCGUUUUUGGGAUUUGAUGUGAGUAAUGACAGACGAGUAAAGGUAAGACCAUGCAUACACUGUUGUACAGUCCAUGACAAAAAUAAAAGACCAGCCCUUUUUAAAUAAUAAAUAAAAAAAUAUAUAAAACAAGAUAAGAACAAAAUUAAUAAUAAUAAUCAAAAAAUGUUAUUUUAAAGAAUAAAACUACAUUUGUCUUUUUGUUGUGGAUUGUAUAUACUUUCAUUUGUAUUGAAUGAGUAUCCGUCUUCUAUACCGCUUAUCCUUUUCAGGGUCACUGGGAACCUGGAGCCUAUCCCAGGGAGCAUCGGGCACAAGGCGGGGUACACCCUGGACAGGGUGCCAAUCCAUCGCAGGGCACAAUCACAUACACAUUCACAUUCGCACACCCAUUCAUACGCUACGGACACUUUGGACACGCCAAUCAGCCUACCAUGCAUGUCUUUGGACUGGGGGAGGAAACCGGAGUACCCGGAGGAAACCCCCGCAGCACAGGGAGAACAUGCAAACUCCGCACACACAGGGCCACGGUGGGAAUCGAACCCCCGACCCUGGAAAAAAACAUGUUGUCAUAGGAGGGGUGCGAGGGGCCUCCAAAUGUCUAGGACCGGCCCUGGUGAUGUCAUCAGAAAAUACUAUGUUUGCUGGGUGUGGGCUUUUAUUGUACCACUUUCAUUCCUUUUAUUGCACUGACAUAUGCUGUCAUUCUUAUUUUUGUUGAUCAUCAAAAAAAAAGCAAGAAAGAGAGAGAAGAGUUUGAAGGGGAUAGAGACAGUCAGUUGGGGAGGAUGAAGAAAACUAUAUUAAAUGACUUUGGACCACCUGGCAAAAAGCGAGAA